rnacentral:rRNA from 1 species
AGGUGCGACCAUAGCAGCACUAACGCGCUGGAUUCCAUAAGAACUCCAAAGUUAAGCGUGCUUGGGCGAGAGUACUACUAGGAUGGGUGACCCCCUAGGAAGUCCUCGUGUUACACCCC